rnacentral:rRNA from 1 species
GUAAAGCGUGCGCAGGCGGUUUGUAAGACUGUCGUGAAAUCCCCGGGCUCAACCUGGGAAUGGCGAUGGUGACUGCAAGGCUAGAGUUUGGCAGAGGGGGUAGAAUUCCACGUGUAGCAGUGAAAUGCGUAGAUAUGUGGAGGAACACCGAUGGCGAAGGCAGCCCCCUGGGUCAAAACUGACGCUCAUGCACGAAAGCGUGGGGAGCAAACAGGAUUAGAUACCCUAGU